rnacentral:rRNA from 1 species
CCUACGGGUGGCAGCAGUGAGGAAUAUUGGUCAAUGGACGCGAGCCUGAACCAGCCAAGUCGCGUGAAGGAUGACGGCCCUACGGGUUGUAAACUGCUUUUAUAAAGGAAUAAAGUUAGGCACGUGUGCCUAUUUGUAUGUACUUUAUGAAUAAGGAUCGGCUAACUCCGUGCCAGCAGCCGCGGUAAUACGGAGGAUCCAAGCGUUAUCCGGAUUUAUUGGGUUUAAAGGGAGCGUAGAUGGGUUGUUAAGUCAGUUGUGAAAGUUUGCGGCUCAACCGUAAAAUUGCAAUUGAUACUGGCAGUCUCGAGUACAGUUGAGGUAGGCGGAAUGCGUGGUGUAGCGGUGAAAUGCUUAGAUAUCACGAAGAACUCCGAUUGCGAAGGCAGCUUACUA